rnacentral:rRNA from 1 species
UAAUACGAACCGUCCAAACGUUAUUCGGAAUCACUGGGCUUAAAGGGUACGUAGGCGGCGCUGUCAGUCGGGUGUGAAAUCCCACGGCUCAACCGUGGAACUGCGCCCGAUACUGCAGUGCUUGAGGGAGACAGAGGUAAGCGGAACUGAUGGUGGAGCGGUGAAAUGCGUUGAUAUCAUCAGGAACACCGGUGGCGAAAGCGGCUUACUGGGUCUCUUCUGACGCUGAGGUACGAAAGCUAGGGGAGCGAAGGGGAUUAGAUACCCCCGUAGUCCUAGCUGUAAACGUUGAGCACUUGAUCGAGGAUCCCCCCAUAGGUUCCCGGUCGUAGCGAAAGUGUUAAGUGCUCCGCCUGGGGAGUAUGGUCGCAAGGCUG